UACGGAGGGUGCAAGCGUUAAUCGGAAUUACUGGGCGUAAAGCGUGCGUAGGUGGUUCGUUAAGUCCGUUGUGAAAGCCCCGAGCUCAACUUGGGAAUUGCAGUGGAUACUGGCGGGCUGGAGUGCGGUAGAGGAAGGUGGAAUUCCCGGUGUAGCGGUGAAAUUCGUAGAUAUCGGGAGGAACACCGGUGGCGAAGGCGGCGAUCUGGGUCGAUACUGACGCUGAGGUGCGAAAGCGUGGGGAGCGAACAGG
rnacentral:rRNA from 1 species